rnacentral:rRNA from 1 species
GGAUUAGAUACCCUGGUAGUCUACGCUGUAAACGAUGUUCACUAGUUGCUGGGCGCCUUGGUGUGCUCAGUGACGUAGCUAACGCGUUAAGUGAACCGCCUGGGGAGUACGGUCGCAAGACUAAAACUCAAAGGAAUUGACGGGGACCCGCACAAGCGGUGGAGCAUGUGGUUUAAUUCGAAGCAACGCGCAGAACCUUACCUGGGUUUGACAUGAGAGGAAGUCUCGGUAAUGCGAGAUGUGCCCUUCGGGGAGCCUCUGCACAGGUGCUGCAUGGCUGUCGUCAGCUCGUGCUG